CUCCGUGUCCAAGUAUUAAAACAAAAACAAACCCAUCAAGUCCUGCGUAUCACCUGGGACUAGGUUGUCUCUCCUCCUCCUUUUGAUAAGGAGAUACAUCAGAAAGACAUUGACAACGACGGACACAAGCAGAGAUGCUCGCACACAAAACACUCUUUCUACCGUAGCAUCCCACCUGCGAUCUCCAAACACGUCCCCUUUCCGAACACGAUCUCGCCACAGGAGGCGACGGCGCAGUAGUACGUCCCGGCGUCAGACACGGCGAUGUCCCGUUUGGACAGCAUGUAAACGCAACCCUUCUCCGACGCCGUUGCGCACCCGCUGCUGAUCUCCGAGUGGACGUACAACAAGUGGGAGUCGCCCGAGGCCUUUCGAAACCAGUAGACGGUGUGCACCCCGUCGCUGCUUCCAGGGUGCAUGGUGCAGUUCAGUGUGGCGGAGCCCCCCGGGGACUCUGUGAUGGACGUUGGACGCUGGAGGACGGACAGGCGAGUAGAUUCUAAAACAAGGAAAAUAAGGUCAGAGUCAGGAACCAUAUUUUAGUUCUUAUGAGCGCUUGGCAAAUGAUUCAUUGAUCACUCCGUUUCAUUUUGAUAGGUUGUUCUUCCUCAGGCGUGGGUUUUUAAUUUUUUUUUUUUUACAAAAACAUCAGAAUGUAGUAACUUUAAUUUUUCCUCUACUUGCUACAAAAAAAAAAGUUUUAAGAGAAAUUCAAAACAAAAAUACUGGGAAAUGGAAAAAAAAAGCAUUGAACUUGUACGUGUCCUGAACACAAUUUAGUUUUUAUUACAAAAUGAGCACACAUAACGCAUAAAUAUUUGAUCUUUCUGGGGCAUUAUUUUAUUUUUCAUUAUUCCGAACAGUUCUGAGCGCAGACAGACUGGUACUGUUGUUCAAGCACCACCCUUUUUGUCCUAGAUGAGAAAAGUGUCCUUGGCGACGGGUGCCUUUCUCACGCUUUUUUAAAAUUAUUUUUUCUUUUAGCUUGAGCAUAUGCCCCCACACCUCCAAAAAUGUCUGUACAACCGUCUUGUUUCGGAAUAUUUCACUGGGUUAAAGGCUCAAAGAGACGGCAUACCUUUCACAAGCAAAAAGAUUCCGCUGUCAAAGCUCAUGACGUUGAGAUGGCUCUGCCCGCAGUAGUACACGGCCGUGUCCGAGAGCUGCACGUUGGAAAUGUUCAGAUGGAAGGAGUUUUGUCUGGCGUGAAUUGUCAUCCGCUUGUUGAAGUCCGUCGUCAUCUGGUGACUGUGGGAGUCGAGCGUGUAGACGUACAAGCAGAACACGAUUUGGGGUUUGUCGCCUGCGACCUGCUUAUACCAGCACAGAUAUUUGGCGUCAGGGGCAAAGUCGCAGGGCAGGGUGACUUGGUCGCCCAGGCUCGCAAAACGCACGCUGCCAUCUGAAAUGCACACAAGAAGGACAGUUCCGUGUCUUUGCUUCAUUUUCUGCAGAAAUGGUUGUCAAUGACAUAACUUACGGGCUCUAAAGAGAGCAACCCAGAACACGCAGAGCUUCAGCAUCCCGUUCUCCGUUGAGACUUCUACCUUAAUGGCGGUGACAUCAAGAAGGGGGUUGCAAUCAAAAA